rnacentral:rRNA from 1 species
AGGGAAUAGAUACCCGGGUAGUCCACGCCGUAAACGAUGGAUGCUAGCUGUACGGAGUAUCGACCCUCUGUGUAGCAAAAAGCUAACGCGUUAAGCAUCCCGCCUGUGGAGUACGAGCGCAAGCUUAAAACAUAAAGGAAUUGACGGGGACCCGCACAAGCGGUGGAGCGUGUUGUUUAAUUCGAGGAUAAGCGAAGAACCUUACCCAGGUUUGACAUCCUACUAAGGUUUCCGUAAAGGAAAACUAGUGCCUUCGGGUCCGGUACGUGACAGGUGAUGCAUGGCCGUCGUCAGCUCGUGUCGUGAGAUGUUUGG